CAGCCGAAAGGGGAUAAAUGGAUGGAUAAAAUGAGAGAAAAAGCUGGUGAGCGCCAGCAGAAAAUUAAACACUCAAUAAAAAGAAGGAAGGAACAUAACAACUCAAAUGGACUCGAGCUCGCAAGCAGCUCAGAGGAAGCUGCCAAUAACACAAAUCAAGUUCAAAAUGUGUCCAAGAACCGCAAAUUAAGCAGUCGCACCAACCUCACCCAUCUCAGUCAAAGCAGAAGCUCAACUGAAAUGUUUCUGCAUUGACUUCUCAGCUGAAAUAAAGGACAUUGAUGCUUGCACUGGACACUGGAGAUGAAUGGAGGAUAUUUGAGACCGGGCAGCCCAAGACCAGAUGUGUAUGGCGCGCUGGUGGAGUAGGUGUGAGGCAGAUAAAGGAGAAUGAGAGGGAGCCCUCUACAGGAUAACUGCACAACUGAGAAACAGAAAGAAAGGAAGAAAAAGAAGAGCAGAGAAUGUCUUCUCAAUUCAUUUCAGUCAAACUAAAUAUGAAUGAGGCUGCAAACAGGAUGCAAAGUUGUCAUUUGAAUUUGACACUAUAUAGAUGUACAUGUACCUAUACAUACAUUUCUGUGCAGUUUAAUCUGUAGUUCUGUAGUAAUGUAACAAAGUAGCAUUACUACAGUAUUAUA